AAACUCUGCACAGCGGGGCUCCCACACCCGGGAUCGAACCGGCAACCCUCUUGCUGUGAGCUAUACUUUUAAUGAAGCUGACAUGUCAUGACAGUCAAGCGCCCCCCCGGGAUUCCGGGAUUACGGCAGCCAAUCAGCGUUGAGCUGCAAGCAACAGGACCCAGCAAAAUACCGCUCCAGAUGAGAUUUCUCGUUCAGGUUCCAGCUCAUCACAACAUGAGCCUUUUUUUAGGAAGAACCCACCACACACAGGAGCACUCUUUCAACAGCCACGCUCAUUGCGGGGGAAGAAAUGCAGGAGGGGGCAGAAACGCCCCGAGAGAGCCCUACAACACACUCAAUCUAUCAAAGGUUUUUCCGUAACCUACGCCUUAAGGAGUUCUUCAAGAACCAUCGGGGGACCACUCUCCCUAUGUUAACAGCUCUACUAACACCCACGGGACGGGCCCCACCAGCGACACAGGGACUGUGAAGGACCAGGAAACCACCUCUAACUCCCCCACUAGAUUUCGUACUCAUUUUAGAGGUGUCUGGAGUCAGUAUGGGGUCUGAGAUGUCCCCGAGUUUUGUGUCCCUGUAUGUCGGACUGUUCGAACAGGAGGUGGUGUUGAAUCCCUCCAAGAAUCCGUUCCUGCCAUACAUCACCACAUACAAGAGGUACAUUGAUGACAUCUUCUUCAUCUGGACUUCUAAAGAAGACAAACUGAAAGACUUCUACAACUUCAUUAACACACAGAAUACACAUUUGAGGUUCACAGUGGCUCAUGACCCUUUUAAAAUGAACUUUUUGGACAUAUUGAUUGUUAACAACAGUGACGGCCUCAGCACUACUCUGUAUAGAAAACCUACUGAUAGAAAUUCACUGUUACAUGGACAGUCGUAGCACCCCACCCAUCUGAAAAGGAGCCUUCCUGUGGCCCAACUGAACCGCAUACGCCACAUAUGCAGCUCAGAUACUGACUUUGACAAACAAAAGGUGGAAAUUGAACACAGGUUUUUACAAAGAGGGUAUCGAAAAUUGUGGGUGACUCAAGCCUCUGCUCGUUUUUCUAACCUCACACAAACUGAGUGCCUGUACACAACCAGAACUAAAAAUGUUGACAAACGUAUCACUUGUUCUUUUCAAUAUUCCCCUCUGGCACAAGAUACGUCUUCUAUCAUCAACAAACAUUGGCAUGUGGUAGCCACUGACCCAGCUCUGAGAGGGCUCAUGGACAAUCCACCCUGCAUCGUCUACAAAAGACCUCCUAAUCUCAAGAACAUGUUAGUGAGAGCGGAUUGUCCCAGUCCCCCUCCCACCUUGACCUUUCUGGGCCCCGUGCCACCCGGCAACUAUAAGUGUGGCAACUGCCAACAAUGCAAUUUCACGAGGAAAACCAGCACCUUUCAUCACCCAUGCUCCGGCAAAAAGUUUUCUGUCAGAGGUUUCAUUUCCUGUAAGACUCAUAAUAUUAUCUACAUGCUCAAAUGUCCCUGUGGACUUGCCUGCAUAGGUAAGACCUCAGGAACCCUCAAAAACAGAAUAUCUGAACACAGAUGGCCAUCAGGAAUCACGACCAAAGGAGCCCUGUGGCCAAUCAUUUUAACCUCUUGAAUCACACUGUGGCCUCCCUGAGCUAUCUGGGGAUCGAACAUGUUCAACUUCCUAGGAGAGGCAGAGACAUUAAUAAUCUCCUUUUAAAAUGCAAACUUUUCUGGAUUUACACCCUGGACACUAUGUCACCUAGGGAUCUCAACGAGGAGAUGGACAUCCGACCUUUCCUGUAAUUCCUCUGACUGACAUUCUGUGGUUAUGCUCCUCUGAUUGCAUGUUUUUGCUACUUACUGCUUUCUAUAUGGUGUUUUGUUAUCUUUUGCACAUCACUGUACUUUGAGGUACCUCAGUAGUGUUCUGUCCUUUAUGAUGAAUUAUUGGCCUGAUGUUGUGUCAGACACUCUACCCCGUGUUGUUUAUCCAACACUGUAUGUGUUUUGUUGUUUGAGUGUGU